rnacentral:tRNA from 1 species
GCCCACUUGGCGGAAUUGGCAGACGCAACGGGCUUAAAACCCGUAGGUCCGAAAGGACCGUCCCGGUUCGAGUCCGGGAGUGGGCACCA